rnacentral:rRNA from 1 species
GACGAACGCUGGCGGCGUGCUUAACACAUGCAAGUCGAACGGAAAGGCCCUGCUUUUGUGGGGUGCUCGAGUGGCGAACGGGUGAGUAACACGUGAGUAACCUGCCCUUGACUUUGGGAUAACUUCAGGAAACUGGGGCUAAUACCGGAUAGGAGCUCCUGCUGCAUGGUGGGGGUUGGAAAGUUUCGGCGGUUGGGGAUGGACUCGCGGCUUAUCAGCUUGUUGGUGGGGUAGUGGCUUACCAAGGCUUUGACGGGUAGCCGGCCUGAGAGGGUGACCGGCCACAUUGGGACUGCGAUACGGCCCAGACUCCUCCGGGAGGCAGCGGUGGGGAAUAUUGCACAAUGGGCGGAAGCCUGAUGCAGCAACGCCGCGUGCGGGAUGACGGCCUUCGGGUUGUAAACCGCUUUCGCCUGUGACGAAGCGUGAGUGACGGUAAUGGGUAAAGAAGCACCGGCUAACUACGUG